AACGAACGCUGGCGGCAGGCUUAACAUAUGCAAGUCGAGCGCCCCGCAAGGGGAGCGGCAGACGGGUGAGUAACGCGUGGGAAUCUACCCAUCUCUACGGAAUAACGCAUGGAAACGUGUGCUAAUACCGUAUACGUCCUUCGGGAGAAAGAUUUAUCGGAGAUGGAUGAGCCCGCGUUGGAUUAGCGAGUUGGUGGGGUAAAGGCCUACCAAGGCGACGAUCCAUAGCUGGUCUGAGAGGAUGAUCAGCCACACUGGGACUGAGACACGGCCCAGACUCCUACGGGAGGCAGCAGUGGGGAAUAUUGGACAAUGGGCGCAAGCCUGAUCCAGCCAUGCCGCGUGAGUGAUGAAGGCCCUAGGGUUGUAAGGCUCUUUCACCGGUGAAGAUAAUGACGGUAACCGGAGAAGAAGCCCCGGCUAACUUUGUGCCAGCCGCCGCGGUAAAAC
rnacentral:rRNA from 1 species